rnacentral:rRNA from 1 species
AUGAAUCUCUUUAGCUGGAACUGUCGGGGAGGGGGGAAUACUUGGACAGUUCAUGAACUAGCGACACUUGCUCAGUCGCAUUCCCCCAUGAUUGUUUUUUUGUGUGAAACGAGACAGAAAGAGAGUAAAAUGAAGAGAAUUCGUGGUCGGAUUGGCUUGAAGGGUUUUACGGGAGUGGACAGCGAAGGGCUGAGCGGUGGACUUGCUCUGUCUUGGCAUGAAGCUUUUUCUGUUACAAUUUUGGAUAAGGACGAUCGUUACAUUGACCUAAUUAUUAAAGAGCAUGAGGAUGCAGAGCAAUGGCGUCUCACUUGUGUGUACGGUGAGCCACGCGUUGAGAACCGUCACUUCAUGUGGACUAAACUACAGAAUUUGAAACCAGUAAGUGACCUCCCGUGGCUGGUUAUAGGUGAUUUUAAUGAGGCACUAUGGAGUUUUGAACAUAUGUCGGUAACACCAAGAGCGGAAGCGCAGAUGGUAGCAUUCCGUGAUGUGCUGGAAGUGUGUGAAUUAGUGGAUCUUGGCUUCUCGAGAAUUCCUUAUACAUGUGAUAAUAUGAGAUCUGGGGCUGCUAAUGUCAAAGUUCGGUUGCUUCGUGGAGAAAUUUGUUUGCGUUUUCUUCAGUGCAGCAUGUCCCGUCUCCAUGUUCAGAUCAUGUUGCAUUGCUGCUUAAGAGUACGGCUGAUCCAGGACCGACGGGAAGCAGAAGUCAUAGAUACGAGGUGUUCUGGGAAAGGGACGAAGGUCUCCCUGAGGUAA